rnacentral:rRNA from 1 species
AUAAUCAUUAGUCUUUUAUUUGGUGACUUGUAUGAAAGAAUGGAAGAAAAAAAAACGUUUUAAGAAAAAUUAGUUGAAGUUAAUUUUUUAAUUAAAAAGUUAAAAUAGAUUAAAAAGACGAGAAGACCCUAUAGAGUUUAAUAUUAAAUAUAGUUUAAAUUAUUUAUAAAAUUAUUAACUAAAAAUUUUAUUUAAUAUUUUAUUGGGGUGAUAAAAAAAUAAAAUGAACUUUUUUUGAAAAUAACCAUAAAUAAGUGAUAUAAUGACCCAAUUUUAUUGAUUAAAAGAAAAAAUUACCUUAGGGAUAACAGCGUAAUUUUUUUUUUUAGUUCUUAUAAGAAAAAAAGUUUGCGACCCCGAUGUUGGAUCAGGACAAAAACC